rnacentral:rRNA from 1 species
UACAGAGGUCCCAAGCGUUGUUCGGAUUCAUUGGGCGUAAAGGGUGUGUAGGUGGCGCCGUAAGUCGGGUGUGAAAUCUCGGGGCUUAACUCCGAAACUGCAUUCGAUACUGCGGUGCUUGAGGACUGGAGAGGAGACUGGAAUUCAUGGUGUAGCAGUGAAAAUGCGUAGAGAUCAUGAGGAAGACCAGUGGCGAAGGCGGGUCUCUGGGACAGUUCCUGACACUGAGCACGAAGGCCGGGGAGCAAAACGGG